rnacentral:rRNA from 1 species
CCUACGGGGGGCUGCAGUGGGGAAUAUUGGACAAUGGGGGCAACCCUGAUCCAGCCAUGCCGCGUGUGUGAAGAAGGCCCUCGGGUUGUAAAGCACUUUCAGUGAGGAAGAACGCCUGGUGGUUAAUACCCAUCAGGAAAGACAUCACUCACAGAAGAAGCACCGGCUAACUCCGUGCCAGCAGCCGCGGUAAUACGGAGGGUGCGAGCGUUAAUCGGAAUUACUGGGCGUAAAGCGCGCGUAGGUGGCUUGAUAAGCCGGUUGUGAAAGCCCCGGGCUCAACCUGGGAACGGCAUCCGGAACUGUCAAGCUAGAGUGCAGGAGAGGAAGGUAGAAUUCCCGGUGUAGCGGUGAAAUGCGUAGAGAUCGGGAGGAAUACCAGUGGCGAAGGCGGCCUUCUGGACUGACACUGACACUGAGGUGCGAAAGCGUGGGUAGCAAACAGGAUUAGAUACCCGAGGAGUC